CACGUAGUUAGCCGUCCCUUUCUGGUAAGCUACCGUCACAGUGUGAACUUUCCACUCUCACACCCGUUCUUGACUUACAACAGAGCUUUACGAUCCGAAAACCUUCUUCACUCACGCGGCGUUGCUCGGUCAGGGUUGCCUCCAUUGCCGAAGAUUCCCUACUGCUGCCUCCCGUAGGAGUCUGGGCCGUGUCUCAGUCCCAGUGUGGCCGAUCACCCUCUCAGGUCGGCUAUGUAUCGUCGCCUAGGUGAGCCAUUACCUCACCUACUAGCUAAUACAACGCAGGUCCAUCUUGUAGUGGAGCAAUUGCCCCUUUCAAAUAAAUGACAUGUGUCAUCCAUUGUUAUGCGGUAUUAGCUAUCGUUUCCAAUAGUUAUCCCCCGCUACAAGGCAGGUUACCUACGCGUUACUCACCCGUUCGCAACUCAUCCAAGAAGAGCAAGCUCCUCUCUUCAGCGUUCUACUUGCAUGUAUUAGGCACGCCGCCAGCGUUCGUCC
rnacentral:rRNA from 1 species